rnacentral:rRNA from 1 species
AUUGAACGCUGGCGGCAUGCCUUACACAUGCAAGUCGAACGGUAACAGGUCUUCGGAUGCUGACGAGUGGCGAACGGGUGAGUAAUACAUCGGAACGUGCCUAGUAGUGGGGGAUAACUACUCGAAAGAGUGGCUAAUACCGCAUGAGAUCUACGGAUGAAAGCAGGGGAUCGCAAGACCUUGUGCUACUAGAGCGGCCGAUGGCAGAUUAGGUAGUUGGUGGGAUAAAAGCUUACCAAGCCGACGAUCUGUAGCUGGUCUGAGAGGACGAUCAGCCAACCUGGGACUGAGACACGGCCCAGACUCCUACGGGAGGCAGAAGUGGGGAAUUUUGGACAAUGGGCGCAAGCUUGAUUCAGCAAUGCCGCGUGCAGGAUGAAGGCCUUCGGGUUGUAAACUGCUUUUGUACGGAACGAAAAGCCCUGGGUUAAUACCCUGGGGUCAUGACGGUACCGUAAGAAUAAGCACCGGCUAACUACGUGCCAGCAGCCGCAGUAAUAC